GUUCUCGUGAUAGUGAGUGAGUUCUCACGAGAUCUGAUGGCUGUAUCAAUGUUUUGUAGUUCCUCCAGAAUUCAUUGUUCUUCCUGCCACCCUGUGAAGAAGGUGUCUUGCCUCCCCUGUGCCAUCUGCCAGGAUUGUAAGAUUCUUAACUGCUCCCCAGCCAUGCUGAAAGAUGGGCUUUGGCACUACUAUCGUGUCCGAAAUUGGUGAGUUCUUGAUCUGACUGACUUCAAGAAUGAAGACGUGGACCCUCGCGGCAGAAGAGCCUCUCCCUGUGGCCUCCACCACUACCAGCCCAUGAGAGUGCCACCAGGCCACCUUCAAUGUUCACUCAAAGCCCAAGGGCUCUUCCCUCAGCAUGUGAAAUAAGAGGUCACUUUUGUUGCUGCGAGCUGCACUGCCUGCGGUUGGAUGAGGUUCACAAGAACAAAAGCCUUUGCUUGUGCUGAAAGCCAUUAAAAAAUGGGACAAAUGGACUGAUGCAGCAUUCCCAAGUGUGGUGUUUUUAUAAUGCCCAAAAUCCAGAGAACCGUAACAAACACUGUGAUGCUUUUAUAUGUCAGCUGGUACAAAAUGCAAUAAUUUACCAUCUUGUCCUCUACCAUGGAAGGUAUCCUGAAUUACUGAAGACAACUGCAAUGCUAAAAUAUUUACCAGUGAAAGGCCCUUGAGACUGUAGGCUUUAUGUUUCAGAUUCUGUUUUAUUGUUUACAUUCCUGUACAAGAGUAUCAGAAAAUGACAUUUCUUGCUCACUACGGCUGAUUAAUCUGAUAUUAUCAAUAUAGUGAUCAAUAUUUUGGUCUUUGUAAUUUUAAGACUAUUAAGUUUACCUCAGGUCAUAUUAUAACAAAAUAACAAUCAUAGCCCUGGGCAAGACAACAAAUGUGUUCUGUGGUCUAUCCCUGGUAAAUGAAAAUAUCUUUUAUCUGUUUUCAUGAAGGAGAUAGAAAGUGAUAUUUGUCAGAUCAUAUUUGCAAAACCAAGAGUAGAAGCUGAGUUGAGUUUUUAAAAUAAAGAUACUACAUACUAUACUACAUAAUAUAAAUACACAGCAGAUGCAUUAGGAAUUAUCAGUUGCUUAGAUUUACAUGAUUUCCCCCAUCAUCACCCAGAUCCAAAUUUUUGCAUGUGUCAUUCCAGUAAAUUAAAUGAGGAUGUGAUAGGGACUUCGACUCCUACACCCUUUUUAUUUUUGAGAAUGUUAUUAU
rnacentral:lncRNA from 1 species